UGAGGAAUAUUGCACAAUGGAGGAAACUCUGAUGCAGCAACGCCGCGUGGAGGAUGACGCAUUUCGGUGUGUAAACUCCUUUUAAGAGGGAAGAUUAUGACGGUACCUCUUGAAUAAGCACCGGCUAACUCCGUGCCAGCAGCCGCGGUAAUACGGAGGGUGCAAGCGUUACUCGGAAUCACUGGGCGUAAAGGGCGCGUAGGCUGGCUUUUAAGUCAGAUGUGAAAUCCUAUGGCUUAACCAUAGAACUGCAUUUGAAACUGAAAGCCUAGAGUUCAGAAGGGGCAGAUGGAAUUAGUGGUGUAGGGGUAAAAUCCGUAGAUAUCACUAGGAAUAUCAAAAGCGAAGGCGAUCUGCUGGGAUGAUACUGACGCUGAGGCGCGAAAGCGUGGGGAGCAAA
rnacentral:rRNA from 1 species